rnacentral:tRNA from 1 species
GUUGUCAGUAGCCUAUAACAAAGGUUUAACUUUGAAAAAGUUAAGAAGAUGUGUCAUCCGACAACA